rnacentral:rRNA from 1 species
UACGUAGGGUGCAAGCGUUGUCCGGAAUUAUUGGGCGUAAAGAGCUCGUAGGCGGUUUGUCGCGUCUGCUGUGAAAAUCCAGGGCUUAACCCUGGACCUGCAGUGGGUACGGGCAGACUAGAGUGCGGUAGGGGAGAUCGGAAUCUGGUGUAGCGGUGAAUGCGCAGAUAUCAGGAGGAACACCAACGGCGAAGGCAGCUCGCUGGGACGGUACUGACACUGAGGCGCGAAGCGUGGGAGCGAACAGG